rnacentral:rRNA from 1 species
UACGGAGGGUGCAAGCGUUGCUCGGAAUUAUUGGGCGUAAAGCGCACGUAGGCGGUUUGUUAAGUCGGAUGUGAAAUCCCUCGGCUCAACUGAGGAAGUGCAUCCGAAACUGGCAGGCUUGAGUACUAAAGAGGGUCGCGGAAUUCCCGGUGUAGAGGUGAAAUUCGUAGAUAUCGGGGAGGAACACCGGUGGCGAAGGCGGCGACCUGGGUAGAUACUGACGCUGAGGUGCGAAAAGCGUGGGGAGCAAACAGG